GAUGAAGAACGCAGCGAAAUGCGAUACUUGGUGUGAAUUGCAGAAUCCCGUGAACCAUCGAGUCUUUGAACGCAAGUUGCGCCCGAAGCCAUUAGGCCGAGGGCACGUCUGCCUGGGCGUCACACGUCGUUGCCCCCCCCAUCUACUCCUUCGGGAUUGCGGGGGGCGGAUGAUGGCCUCCCGUGCGCCUCGCCGCGCGGUUGGCAUAAAUGCCAAGUCCUCGGCGACGCACGCCACGACAAUCGGUGGUUGCGAAACCUCGGUUGCCCGUCGUGUGCGGUCGUCGCGCAUCGAGGGCUCGAAAAAAUUGCCGAGUUCCGGCUCGGCUUUCAACGCGACCCCAGGUCAGGCGGGGUUACCCGCUGAAUUUAAGCAUAUCAAUAAGCGGAGGA
rnacentral:misc_RNA from 1 species